rnacentral:rRNA from 1 species
CCUACGGGGGGCAGCAGUGGGGAAUAUUGGACAAUGGGCGAAAGCCUGAUCCAGCCAUGCCGCGUGUGUGAAGAAGGCCUUCGGGUUGUAAAGCACUUUCAGUGGGGAAGAAAGCCUUGGGGCUAAUACCCUCGAGGAAGGACAUCACCCACAGAAGAAGCACCGGCUAACUCCGUGCCAGCAGCCGCGGUAAUACGGAGGGUGCGAGCGUUAAUCGGAAUUACUGGGCGUAAAGCGCGCGUAGGCGGUCUGAUAAGCCGGUUGUGAAAGCCCCGGGCUCAACCUGGGAACGGCAUCCGGAACUGUCAGGCUAGAGUGCAGGAGAGGAAGGUAGAAUUCCCGGUGUAGCGGUGAAAUGCGUAGAGAUCGGGAGGAAUACCAGUGGCGAAGGCGGCCUUCUGGACUGACACUGACGCUGAGGUGCGAAAGCGUGGGUAGCAAACAGGAUAGAUACCCUAGUAGUC